rnacentral:rRNA from 1 species
AACGAACGCUGGCGGCAUGCCUAACACAUGCAAGUCGAACGAGACCUUCGGGUCUAGUGGCGCACGGGUGCGUAACGCGUGGGAACCUGCCCUUAGGUUCGGAAUAACUCCCCGAAAGGGGUGCUAACACCGGAUAAUGUCUUCGGACCAAAGAUUUAUCGCCUUUGGAUGGGCCCGCGUUGGAUUAGCUAGUUGGUAGGGUAAAAGCCUACCAAGGCGACGAUCCAUAGCUGGUCUGAGAGGAUGAUCAGCCACACUGGGACUGAGACACGGCCCAGACUCCUACGGGAGGCAGCAGUGGGGAAUAUUGGACAAUGGGCGAAAGCCUGAUCCAGCAAUGCCGCGUGAGUGAUGAAGGCCUUAGGGUUGUAAAGCUCUUUUACCCGGGAUGAUAAUGACAGUACCGGGAGAAUAAGCUCCGGCUAACUCCG